CAAUUCUCCCACGCAUAAGAAAGAACCUUUCUCUCUUCCUUUCACACCUUUAAGAAGAACUUUUCUUCUCUAAUUUUUUAUGAUGAAAAUCAAAUCUAAUCUGAUUUCUCAUGCUAAAAAUUAUAUGAAAUCUUGAGCUCUAAAAGAACUCAAAAGAAAGAUCUAAGAGAAGAAUCGUUCUUCUCUCUUCUUCUCCCUUUUUCUCUUUG
rnacentral:lncRNA from 1 species